rnacentral:rRNA from 1 species
AUUGAACGCUGGCGGCAGGCUUAACACAUGCAAGUCGAGCGGGGAAGGGUAGCUUGCUACCUAACCUAGCGGCGGACGGGUGAGUAAUGCUUAGGAAUCUGCCAUUUAGUGGGGGACAACAUUCCGAAAGGAAUGCUAAUACCGCAUACGUCCUACGGGAGAAAGCAGGGGAUCUUCGGACCUUGCGCUAAAUGAUGAGCCUAAGUCGGAUUAGCUAGUUGGUGGGGUAAAGGCCUACCAAGGCGACGAUCUGUAGCGGGUCUGAGAGGAUGAUCCGCCACACUGGGACUGGGACACGGCCCAGACUCCUACGGGAGGCAGCAGUGGGGAAUAUUGGACGAUGGGCGGAAGCCUGAUCCAGCCAUGCCGCGUGUGUGAAGAAGGCCUUAUGGUUGUAAAGCACUUUAAGCGAGGAGGAGGCUACUUAGAUUAAUACUCUAGGAUAGUGGACGUUACUCGCAGAAUAAGCACCGGCUAACUCUGUGCCAGCCGCCGCAGUAACAC